rnacentral:rRNA from 1 species
GAUGAACGCUGGCGGCGUGCCUAACACAUGCAAGUCGAGCGAUUCUCUUCGGAGAAGAGCGGCGGACGGGUGAGUAACGCGUGGGUAACCUGCCCUGUACACACGGAUAACAUACCGAAAGGUAUGCUAAUACGAGAUAAUAUACUUUUAUCACAUGGUAGAAGUAUCAAAGCUUUUGCGGUACAGGAUGGACCCGCGUCUGAUUAGCUAGUUGGUAAGGUAACGGCUUACCAAGGCGACGAUCAGUAGCCGACCUGAGAGGGUGAUCGGCCACAUUGGAACUGAGACACGGUCCAAACUCCUACGGGAGGCAGCAGUGGGGAAUAUUGCACAAUGGGCGAAAGCCUGAUGCAGCAACGCCGCGUGAGUGAUGAAGGCCUUCGGUCGUAAGCUCUGUCCUCAAGAAGAUAAUGACGGUACUUGAGGAGGAAGCCCGGCUAACUACGUGCCAGCAGCCGCGGUAACUAGUCUACG